GAGUGGAAGUGGCGGUUGGGGUCCUGUUACAGUAGUUAUAAACCUGCGAGGGGUGCCCGGAAACGCGAUCUUUGUGCUCUCCCGGCCGGGGGCUACUAGUUUGCUGUCCGGAGAGUGGAUGAAAUGUGCGCGCAGCAAUGGAGUGUGCGUGUGUGUGCGGGCCAGUUAGUUGUGGCAAGGUGAACCCCACCCCCCGCACCCGCAAAGCCUGUGCAGGUAGAAGGGACGGUGUGUUACGGGACUGACGGCGGAGCCAAGUGAAAGGAGAGGUCUAGAAAGGUUCCCAUAGUCCUCUGGGCUUCAUUGCCUCUCCUCCCCUACUGCUUCUCAACUCUUUACAUGGGGGGAAGGGGUCCACUCAGGCUCCGGGGCGCCCUGAGCUAGGAAGCCCACUGGAUGGUAUGGGGAGCCAUUGGGGAUAUUUGAGGGAUGUGGUCCUCAGGCUGGGAGCCUCUCCCUUAGGGAGAAGGAUGCUUUAAAAUUUUCAGAGGCUGACCCACAAGUCCCAGGAGGCACCUCUGUACCUAAUAGGAAUAAUGCAAACUUUGGGGACAUGACCUCCAACUUAAGGAGAGUGAUUUGCAGGGCGCCUGGGUGGCUCAGUCGGUUAAGCAUCCGACUUUGGCUCAGGUCAUGAACUCGAGGUUGGUGGGAUAGAGCCCCAUGGUGAGCUGUGAGCACAGAGCCCACUUGGGAUCCUCCUCUGUCCCCCUCUCUCUCUGCCCUGUCCCUGCUCACACUCUUAUCUCUCUCAAAAGUAAACAUAAAAGAAAAAGGAGAGUGAUUUGCCACACUCCUUGUUACCAAGGACUGCCUAUGGCAGUGGGCACAUUCCUGCCCUUUGUGUCAGAAUCUUAGUGGAGUUUGGGGUAGGGUGGGGUGGUGUUCAGGCUCUCCUUAGGGGUCCAUUCUCAGGCAUCCAAUCAACCCAAGGAGAACAGAGGAUACUGCAUUCUCCCACAGCCAGGGGCCCCCACACACUCCCUACGCAUGGUCUUCCCUGGCCAUCCAAUAUAGACACAUUUGCCACAGUUCCUCUGCCAUCCAGUGGCCCAGGCUCCCCAUCACCACUACCUGGGAACACAGCACCACCCCCUCCUCAGAAAAAGGGAUCUAGGCAGGGCAGAGGAGAGAAAAGGAGGGUCCCGGGACCCUCUACAGAGAGGACCCCUACUUUUUCCUGGGAUUGGAGGGGUCUACCCAACCCCCUUGGCUGGGGAAGCAAGGGUUAAUGUACACGCAUGGCUCAAAGGUCCCAUCAUUCCCCCACGUGCUGGGCACGGCUAUGCCCAUUUCCCCUCAAACUGGAAAAUGCAGAGGGAGAUUGAUGGAUUCAGGAUGCUAGUGGUUGGGAUGAAUGAUCAGUGGUUAUUGCUGUGACCCAAGCUGCCUUGAGUGUGUGGGGGUGUUUACUCAUUACUGAGAAUUUACUAGAGUAUUUUUCACUGACCUAGGGUCCUGUGCCAUCAGAGAAAAUACUGGUCCUAUCAGGAGGACCCCACUUACCCCAAGCCCACUGGACCACACACACACAUUCAGGCACACACACCAUGAGGUCACCGACAUGCACACAUAGCACACGCCACACAUUCCCCACUGGUUGGCCGUGAGCUGCCUCCUUUUAGAAGCCCACUUGAUUUUUGAGUUCCUGAAACAUCAUCCCCCUUGAAGUGCUGCAGCCUUGGACAGAAGAGGUGGGUAGGGAGUCCUCAGGCUCACAGAGGAUGCAAAUUGUGUUCAGAGUCUCCGCCCUUAAGCCAGUUUUGUUUGGCUCACAGUGAUUUUUCUUUAAAAAGUUUUUUUUUUUUUUUAAUUCGAUGCCAAUAAUUAAAAGUUGGGAGAUUUCACACACAAAAAAACUGGAAGAUAGUGGCAACAAUUGGCUGAGCUGAGGAUGGGGGGAUGGUUCUCCCAUUUAUCACAGUCCCCAAACCUGCCCUCUCUCUGACACUGCUUGGCUCCUGUUGAGAUGUGAGUUGGUGACAGCUCAAAUCCCCAUGGCCAGUGCUAACCAAUGCCAGUACCUUCCCUGUGAGCCUGAAGCCCAGGAACACCCCCUCCCCCCGCCCCACCCCAGUCCAAAAUACUCCAAGGUCAUGGGUCUGAGUACCUGCCUUCUCACUGUAGCUCUUACUCCACCCUCUGAAUCUCCAGAGCUGCUUUGGGAUGCCUGGGGUUGUGGGAUGGAGAGGGUGGGGGUCUCUGGAGAGAUAGGGUCGGCCACUGCAACCGACCCUGGUACUCUGGAGUGAUCCCCACCUGGACACCAUCCCACACUGAAGUGGGAAUGGAGAAGGGAGGAGAGUCUGGCUUCUAGACAACUCCCUGCCUCUUAGAGCAAGGAGAAGCCAAGCAGAAAGGACAGUAAAUAGACCACUACACAGACUAAAAUGCUCUAAAAUGCCUAUCAAACAAGACCUCAGUUAUUCGGCAUUGGUGAGUGUUUUAAUGUUUGGUAACUUAAAUAUUCUGAUUAAUCUAGUAAAUGCAGGUAAUACUGGGAUCUACCUCCUAGGCUAUUAUGAGGAUUCAAUGAGUUAAUUUUGUGAACUGCUUAGAUCACUGCCUGGCACAUAAUAAAGUACUAUGUGCCACUGGUCAUUAAAUAAAAUUUAAAAAUAAUAAUUGGAAGCCAUCACUAUAUGCAGGGUGUGACUAUAAAGUACAAAGACACCAUUUUGGAAGUACAGCAAAGAAUGCUGCCUCUUUUCAAAGCUGUCCCUGGGGAAGCUGUGUGUGACCUCCUCUUUGGGAAACCCUGCAGAAAAAGAGCCCAACAACACCGCAGACUCACAACUUCCCUACCCAGCCUGGGCCCUUACAGACAAGCAACUAUACUCAUGCACGCAAAGCAUGCAUGGCUCUACUGAGCUGCGCAUGAACUUGACCCAAUACACGUAGUUCCAAAUGGCCUUCGCUCUUUCCAGAAAUCAGAGCCACCCUCAAAAGAUACUAAUGUUAUCAGGAUCACCUCCUGUUGGCUUAGAGCGUUAUGGCUUACAAAAUACUCUCCCCAUCACCACAGGAGGUGGUCCCCUAAAGGACAGAAUGUUUGAAUCACGAUCUUACUUUAAAGGACACAUCCUCUCCCACAGGUAUCAGUUUGGGAGGGGAGGGGUGUCUGUGAAAAUUCAGCCACCUUUGGAAUGCUUAACAGGAUUCCCCACCUCCAAAAGCUUUGGAAACAGAAAUAUUUAAUGCUAAAACAGAGGCUGAAGCUAGUGCCAUCAUCUUUGAUAAGUCACAAGGCACUUGGGGAUCUUAGAGUACCUCAGGGUUCUGGUCACCGAGUGGGAGCUGUGCUCAGGGUCAGGUAGCAGAACCCUCUGGAAGGGAAUGCCGGAUAACAGAGUGCUUGGUUUCAUCUAACCCCGGAUAGCAGGGGCCCUGCCCCCACCGCUGCUGACUUUCAGAGCUGCUGGUGGACAGACUCCCCUUCAUUUCACCCUCUGCCACUAGCUAGGGAAGAUGGGAAGAGGGCCAGAGGGUAGGGGGAAGGGAAGGGGGCAGUGCCAGAAUGUGGAAGGCGGGAGUGGGGCUACUGUCCAUCCCACCCCCUAACCUUUGUGCUUUGUGUUCUCUGUCCUUUCUCUUCAAAGGGUCUACCCUGCCGCUCCUCUCCCCUCUGCCACAGCAGGAUGUAGAGCCACCCAAAACACACUGGAGGGCAACAGAGGCUUGAACUUGGGGAGGUUCAAAACUCCUUCUGAGCUGGCGGUCCUGGCUGCACUGAGAGUUAGGGGUCCGAGGCCCUCCAUCCAAGCGACAGAGACACCAGCCCACGGCUCCCCUCACAGCACACGUGCGCAGUCUGAGUGUAACACCCCAGCCAGAGUGUGGCAGCUUCCGGAAGGACUUAAUCCCAGCGUGCUCCUGCCCUUCGCUUGCCUUCCAUGCCCGGUUGAAGCGCCACCUUUGCGAGACCACCCAGCUUCCCAGGCAGGCCCCCCGCUUCUAGCAAAGAAGAGAUCUCUGCUCCCCGCUUUAUGGCCCUUGCCAAUAAACACCCAUGUCCACA